rnacentral:tRNA from 1 species
CGGGGUGUAGUGAAUCGGUAUCACGCUGCGUUCGGGACGCAGAGAUAGCAAGUUCAAUUCUUGUCACCCCGACCA